rnacentral:lncRNA from 10 species
GGCAGCGCUGGCGGCCACAAGCUGUGCUUCAACCCUCUGCCAAAGCCAGCUCAGGAUGAUGGCCCGGCAAGCUCCCUGGGUGUAAACUGCCAGCCUUCCUCACAGCGGUGUGUGGCCUAACUGGGGGGGCAGGGACACUCACUCCUCCCAAGUGCAAGACGAGGUGGGAGGGGCAGCGAAGGGGGGAGCGUGGAACUGACAGCAGGAGACAUCUAAAUAUGAAUCCUUCUUUUUGUAACUUGGAGUCUAGCCCCAGCUCCACCACUGCUGGGACCCUGGCCAAGGCACACCUCUGCAGGCCACUCCCACUUGUCUACACAGCAGGGAAGGGGCUGCUUGUGCCUAUGGUCCCUCUGGGCUCUGAUUCUAUUUUAAUGAUGGGCACACAGCUUCAAAUAAGUCGGCCAAGCAACCAGACGCGGCGCAUUCACCCUCUGGUGGAACUCACUACGAUGCAUAGGUGGCUCAGUUGAAGAGACUGAGCAUGGCCUCAUAGCUACCAGAGGAUACCAUACCUUUGGAUUUUCCUAAGGCUGCAGGGACAGAAACAUACAGAUAUUAGUUUCAAAAAAUCUAGGCCUUCCUUUGGACAUAAAGGUUGUCUUUCUGUAAGGGGUCUCUCUCCAUGGUCCAGGGUCUUGGGGUGGGAUUUUUAUUGUGCUAUAAAAUUAUUACAAUUUAGUUGGUCUCUCUAAAGUGACUCUCCUAUUUGUGUAAGUGUAAGUCAUACCCUACCAUGCACACAGGUAAAGAGAGCAGCUGAAGAGUUGAUAUUGGUGUGGCAUGGGGAAGAAAGAGGCAG